rnacentral:rRNA from 1 species
GACGAACGCUGGCGGCGUGCUUAACACAUGCAAGUCGAACGGAAAGGCCCCUUUGGGGGUACUCGAGUGGCGAACGGGUGAGUAACACGUGAGUAACCUGCCCUUGACUUCGGGAUAACUUCAGGAAACUGGGGCUAAUACCGGAUAGGAAUCCUUGCUGCAUGGUGGGGGUUGGAAAGCUUCGGCGGUUUUGGAUGGACUCGCGGCUUAUCAGCUUGUUGGUGGGGUAGUGGCUUACCAAGGCUUUGACGGGUAGCCGGCCUGAGAGGGCGACCGGCCACAUGGGGCCUAAGGUAGGCCCCAGUGUCCAACGGGGGACAGAGGUGGGGAAUAUUAGCCAGUGGGGGGGAGCCUGUUGAGGAAACCCCCGGUGCGGAAAGAAGGCCAUCGGGUGGUAAACCGCUUUAAGCAGGGACCAAGCUGUUUUGACGUUAACCGGAAAAGAAGCACCGGGUAACCUCGGG